AGUCUCCAGACAUAAUCUAUGACUCUCCGACGUACGAGGGCAGUGUUUCUAUUGGACAGAGGAGUGAUUAAAGUCUGCAGCCUCUGACCACUGUUGAGAAAUCAGGAAACUACCUGGUGCAAUGAACCACGCUCCAUCUACAAGCUGCCUUCAGUAUGAGAGAAUUUGCUGAGUCUGAUGUGUCAGCGGCAAUGGCAACCAUGUGAUCGUCAAGAAGUGGACAACCUUCUGAUGUGCUGGGCACAACUGGGAUACUUGUGUCAGACCCACAAGAUGUUCCAGCACCAGAUAUUGUCUUCAUCAUCAUGUUACUCAAAGUCUGAUCGUAGAACUGGGUGCUGUGUUCGCCAGAGGAGACGAGUUGGGCCACCUGGUUCACCACCUGAGCGGGAGGAGCCCUGCUGUCUGACAUCAAACAGCAAACUGUUACCUAGGUCCAGAAUGUCUCGCAGGUUCUUCAUGGCGUUGGUCAUCUCUCCCAGCCUGGUGUAGACCUCAUUCAUGCGUGGGU